UUCCUUUUUCCUUUCACUUUCUCUCCUGUUUUAUUUCUUCUUUCUCUCUCUGCUCUCCUGCUAAACCUAAUUCUGUUGAAGUCAAACGAAAUCUACCAAAAAUUCAGAAGCUAUCUUCCCUGAACUCUUAUUUCAUAGAUCAAAACCCAUCAUUUAGAAAUACGCUUAUCUCACUCACAAAGACUCUCCUUUGUCUAAGAAGAAGACGUUCUUCGAUUCGCUUGAGUUUUUGAUUUUGGAGUGAUGGAGCAGCAGCAUAAUAAGAACAUGGUUGAAGAAAACAUCCGAGAAGAAGAGAUUCUCCAUGGCCCCUUUUUCGGUUUAACAACUUCGGGCGGCUGGGGUAGCCUCAGUUGAUGUAAAGAAGCUUAAAGAUGCUGGUCUAUGCACGGUUGAAGCUGUUGCAUACUCUUCUCGGAAAGAAUUACUUCUAAUCAAAGGAAUUAGUGAGAUCAUUAAAUUAAGCAGCGACGAAGCUGGUUCCUUUGGGUUUUACUAGUGCUAGUCAACUUCAUGCACAAAGGCAAGAAAUCAUUCAGAUAACAUCAGGAUAAAGAGAAUUUGACAAGGUCUUAGAAGGAAGGACUGAGACUUGGGCUAUUACUCAAUUGUAUGGUGAAUUUCUCAAAAUCGUGAUUUUUAUUAUGUCCAGUGCGCACUCCUCGAACUGAUGUAAAGGAGUUCUUCCGGCAAGCCAGGAGUACGUCUUUCUACAAGCAGUUCGGCGCAUUUCUUGUUAACAUCGAGGAGCUGAAUUCUCAAAAUCGAACUCGAGAGUUGAAGUUUCGUCAGAAUCUUAUGAUAGCUGCAUUGGAGGAGAUGGCUUUGAAACGCUUACAGCAGUCUUUGCCUGCUCUCCUAGUGAUCCCAUAUGUAUAUGUAUCAGUGUUCUCCAACGCCUUCGACUCUGACCAUGGGCCUCUAAACGUGCCGACAUUUGUCUCUUAAGUUUAUGAAUCAUGGUAGACUUAUAUCACUGAUUUGUUCCAAUGCAGCCUUUUUCCUCUAGUGUUUGGUGGAUUGAGAUAAUGCAGCUUGCAUUUGGUUUCAUCCAACAUAUAAAUAAGGGAAUACACACCCUCAAUUCAUCAUUGGGAAGUUUCUCGUUUGUUGUUUUGCAGUUUGCAGUUGUCUUUAUGAACUUCAAAACUUAGAUCUAAGUGACAUCCUAUCGGCAGAAUUUGGAGUAGCUCUUGCAGUGUGAGUGCACAAGAUUCUUCAGUAAACAAGACCUCGAGUAGGCACGCAAAAUCAAGUGCAUAUGUCCUCCGAGUUGGAGGCUGCCCUUUCUGCUAUUUUAUGCUAACAUGUCUACAUGUUCUGACUUCUGAUCACCAUGAAGUAAAGCCUGCAUACUGUGAAUAAGUAUGUCACUUGGCUCUGUUAAGGCGAUACCCUUUUAUCCAUCAGAUUUUCACUUGUCUAUUUGUUUUAGUUUGUGGAAAGUACUCUUACUGUUACUGGAUUGUGCAGGUCACUUUUAUCCAUCAGAUUUUCACUUGUCUAUUUGUUUUAGUUUGUCUAAGUUGCAAGGGUGCAAGAUGAAUCUAAAGUGAUGACUGCAGAGAGUGGAACGUCACUUGGGAUGGCCUGAGGUAAGCAUUAUUAGUGUUCUCUUCUAGUUUCCUGCAGUAGUCAUAAGACUCAUAACCUUACGAGUCUUUCCAGACAGGAAAUUAUGUUACUACAUUGCCGUUUUUCAAAUUUCUAACAAUUAGACAUUCAUCUAUAUCAUCCAUGUUGGUUUCUGUGCAAAUUAUGAUUAAGACCCUAGCAAAUAGGCAUUAAAUAUUUGGAUAACUGAGGUUACGUCGCAACCACAACAUGUAUGUAGGUCAUUGAGCAAAGCCUUACGAUCACAAGGCGAACAUUUUCAGUUUCACAAUUGUGUUGUAGGAGAUGCUAACUAGAAAGGUAAAAACUCUAGUAAAAUUUUGUUUGGAAACUGAACUUGACGAAAAUUCUUAAGUAAAAUAUACACUUCACUUCAAAUAUACAGUUUGACUAAUUUUUACCAUUUUCCCUGUAACAGGCAGCUUCUUUACGAGUUAUCAUACUUAUCAUGCCUACGGUUUUCACUGCCUAUAUAUGGUUUAUUUGUUCGUCUGAAUGAAGUCACUGUGUAAAUGUUGUUGCUGUUGUUGUCUUGAUAAUGGGUCUAUUAGACCACCUCCGUGUAUAUUAUUAUCCACUAGUCAUGUAAACCUAGCAUAUAAGGCUUGACUUUUUACUCUUCUUCUGAAUGUAGUUCGAUACCUUCAUGGAUGCUGUCACUCUCUUCCCGAUGGUCUCAUGAGGGUUGCUGAUGUCAUGGUUGAUGGUGAGAUCGUUGUUGCUGCUGGAUAAGGAAAUGUUGGAAAGGGUUGUGCUUCUAAAAGAUCUUCUCUCAAGCAAGCUGGUGCCAAGGUCCUAAUGACUGAAAUUGUAGUUGAAAUUUUUAGGACUUGUUGCAUCAGUUCUCUUUAAGAAACCUUAAUAAUAGGGAAUUGAAUCCUUUUUUCUUAAUGAAUUGGACUGAGCACAGUUCAAUGUAAUGGAGCUGUCAUUUGGUAUUAGAUGAUUCAGGUUUUAUUUGGAAUUUGAAUUUUAGUAUUUUAAUGUUA